rnacentral:rRNA from 1 species
UACGGGGGGGGCAAGCGUUGUUCGGAAUUACUGGGCGUAAAGGGCGCGUAGGCGGCUCUUCAAGUCGGGUGUGAAAUCUUCGGGCUUAACCUGGAAACUGCACUCGAUACUGCUGAGCUAGAAUGUGGAAGAGGCAACUGGAAUUCCGUGUGUAGCGGUGAAAUGCGUAGAUAUACGGAGGAACACCUGCGGCGAAGGCGGGUUGCUGGGCCAACAUUGACGCUGAGGCGCGAAAGCUAGGGUAGCAAACGGG